GUUUUUUCCACCCUCUGCUCUAGAGCGUUCCCUGGCAGGUGUAACAGAUCAGGACCUGAUUACAGGGCUUCUUAAGAAGCUGAGAUCUGGAGGGAGACGUCAGCCCAUUGUUGCUACCAGCGUGUUUCGCGCAUUCUGGUAACCGUGUCCUGAUUCUCCAACCCUGGUCUCCGUGUCAUGCUCAGGUGAGUUAUUGGAACAACUCCUUGCUGCUCCAGCCGUGAGUCUCCCUUCCUCCUCAGCUUCUGGCUAGCCUUCACAAGAUAAUAUCCCUUACAAGAAACUGUACUCCUGUUCACCUGCCUGUGCACCCUCCUAUGUGGGAGCACUCACGCUGACACAUCAAGCCUCUCAAAGGGAACAGAAGGAAACUACUGCUGCUUGCCACACACAUCCUGGUGAACUCCUCCACAGUGGAAGUACAAAUUCCCCUCCAGCCAAACCUCAAUCUUUUCAACCUGAAGAUCCUGUUACCUUGUUGCUGCUGUCUGGGUUCCUGUCCUGCUUAACCGUUGGAUUAUACAAAUAAAUCUGUUGAAACGCU